rnacentral:misc_RNA from 1 species
CUCUUUUCUUUACAGAAGCUCUCCCCUGGCCGCGUAACCAUAUCGGGACCUUCUGAUAUUGUCCUGCCUCUUCUUAUAAAGCAAACCAACCAUUACAACCACGCCCACCACCAAAACCACUCCAAUAGCAAUCCCAGCCUUCUUUCCUCCGCNNNNNNNUCCCUUCGACUGGUCGCCAUUUGCUUCUACAUUGUUGCUGUGAUUGAUAUCACUCGGCUCCACCGGAGCCGGCGCAGGAACACCAGAGUUCUCAGGCGAGUGAGUCGGAGUGGGAGAAGCACCAGGACCAAGCAGAUCUGACGGCGGCGGCGCUGGUGGCGAAACUAUUGGUGAAUAUGUAGGCGAAGGAGGGAGAUCCAUCGCCGGUGAAGGAGAAGGAGGGGAAAGCAGCGGUGAACGGGCAGGUAGUUGAGGAGACGGACUAGGGGACGAGUCUGAUUCCGGUGGUGGAGUUGCAGAGAGAGUAACUU